CCGGCCCCCGGCGCGCCCCUUGCAGGCAGCCCACGCAGUCGGAGUCCCCGCCCCCAACCCGAGCGGGAGUCGCCAGCUGUCCCGGGGCCGAGACACUCUCUCCUUGACCCGGCUCUCGCUCUCGUCCGGCUCCUCUGAACCCUCAUCUAGGCCCUGCCUCUGGAGCUUCCCUGCUCCUCUCUGCAUUGUCCAAUUUUCGCAAGCAUCCUACCGAGUCAUUUGAGCCAGGAGCCCCACCCUCCAAUCCUGAUCGCCCUCAAGUUUGGGCGGGCUUCUCAUUUUUCACCAUUCCCCAGCGUACAGCAGCCUCAAAGAGGCCAGCAAAGAAACCCCAGGUCGCAGAUGUGACAGACAUGACAAAAACACAGAGGAAACUUCUCCCACCAGAGCAAUCUUCUACCGCAUUUUGAGGUAAAAGGAUGAUUAGAACUGACCAUCUGGCCCCAAAAUGUGAAAUUAUCAAGACACCAUGUGAAAUGUGAUUUGCAACAGAUCCGCCAAGGGAAUAAUUACCCUCCGCAGGCCAGAGGUGCACAACUGUGGACCUUGAUCCGAAGCUUGGAAACUCCCUACCCUGAAGAUCUCUACUAAGUUGUGUGGCGCUUUUGGUUUCUCUAAAGCACGUUCACCUGCUGGGCCAGGAGAGUUUAACUCAAUCAAGGCUUGAAGAGAUAAACCAAUGGUUUCAAGUCACAAAACCAACCAGUCCAGCACCGAGGUCACCUGGCUGCAGGCUGCACCCGGACUCUGCCUGCAGUCUUUCCAGGGGGGCCACACCAGGGGCAGGACCCACCUCUCUGGUUCCUCAGAAGUAUUAGAACCACUGACCUCCAGGGUCCUCUGCUCUCAAGCUGGGAGCCAGAACAAACCCAAGUCUAACUGGUGAAGCGUCAUUUUUUGUGUGUGUGAAUGAAAGAAAAUACUUAUCAGUGGAACCACUCCCCCCAUACGUGCCUCCCUAAAACUUCUUCCCAGCAAGCCGAAAAAUGAGGUCUGAGAAGCAGGAAACCUUUGCGUCUGCAUAGAAGCUGCUUGAAGGGAGAGAAGCCCAGGCAGGGGAGAGAACACCCGAGCGGUGGCAUCUGGAUGGGAUGAAGCGAACCGCUGAAGUGCUCUGAAAGCCGUGCUCCUGGGGCCAAGAGGAGGCGGCAAGCAGACCGGUCCCGAGGACAGCGAGGGGCGUGCAGCCUGGGCCAGAGCCGGGGUCCACACCUGCACCAGGGACACAGGCUCCAGGACCCGAGGCUGGACUGGCUUGCUGGCUUCCCCGCUACCCUGCCCUUGCCCCAAAUAAGGGGAGGGGUCUUGCUGGGGUUCUGGGUAGGUGCCAAGCAGCUAUUGUGAAGAAGGGAAAUUCCAAGUUUUGACACGUUUUACUGGAGGAUGAAAGCGCAUCCUGGAGGGGUAUGGGUGCGACCAGGAGGAAGGCCAGGGUGAAUGCAUCCUGACGAGCCCUCAGGAUGGCGCAAAGACUGGGGAGAAGCAGGCCAGGAGGGGGCAGGUUUCCGUAUUUGCUCAUUUCAAAAGGGUUUGUGUUUUGUGUUUUUAGGCAGUGCUGUGGAAACCCACACAAUCCUAAACUGAACUGAAAACAAAUGCCCAGAGCAUAAAGGAAAAGACAGAAGACACAGCUUUUCAAGUGUUUCUUUGCAAUCCUUGAAGACGUUUCGGUACCAGUGGAGACAGUACUGACGAGAGAGAAUGGGUACAAGAUAGAAAGUGAGACAAAACUUUGAAGUUCAGCAGGCCAUGUUCUCACUCGAACGAAACACAUGACCGCUUCUUAAACGUCCUACGGCAUCGCUGGGGGACGUGAACAAUUUGCUGUUUCAGUGCAGAAGACGGGGAAACUGUAAAUGGAGAGUCUUGGUUUUCUUCGUUUGAGUAGAGGGUCACCAAGGUAGAAAUAGGUAAAAAUGUGUAAGUCACUACUUCUUAGUCUCUGGUGUUCUCUCAUAAUGGAGCCACAUAAAUACCUACUUUCCUCCACAUCCCAGCAGAAGGGUGCCAAGGCGUCAGCACCAACUUCUUCCCGAUUUUCCAUAAGUAGGUAACAGGCCCACGCCUGGCCCGCCUCAGAUGGAAAAGCAAGCUAGGGAGACCCGCUUCGGUGCUCUCGCCGUUCACCAGCAGAGGGCGCUGGCACCGGGCUCCGGUCAACCUCAAGGAUGUGAAGUUGACAGAACGACAGGAGCCCCAGUGGCAGAGGGACCCGAGUGCAGAAGGCAGCCGGGAGCAGAAGCCUGGGACCCUAACCUCAUCCCAAGAAGCUCCACCGACGCAGGGAAGAAAAGGAACGCUGUGACCUGACUGGAGCUCAAAGAAACAGAACAGCACAUGCCACAGCGGGCCAGCGGGGUGCGGGAGAGGCCGUCCUACCCCGAAGGCGGAGCAAACCUCCCCCAAGGCUCAGCCCUGCAGCAGUGGGCGCGCAGGGGAGGCUGGCGGCUGACCGGCUCCCUGCGGGAACAUGUGCCUCUUCAAGGACAAGGGGUGAAGGGACACGCUCUGCUGCACACACACGUUCCAGAAAGAGAUACCAGGUGACCGCGAGAGCAUUCUUUUUUUAAAAAACUGAUGAAAAACGAGCAAAUAUAUACAAAAUACUGUCAAUCCCUCCUGGGCCAACAGAGCAGCCAUCACGAUGCGUCUCCUGCUUCGUGAGCUCUCCUCCUGCCCCCGGAGCAGGCCUGCGGCACAGCCCAGCCUGUGGGUCUCCGGGGCACUCGUGCCACGGCUCCGUGCGGCUCCCGGCUCCCGUCCAGUCUCUCCCUGAAGACUCCCCGCACUGGCAAGGAGUGGAAGCAGACUGCCCUGUCUUCCCGUCCCAUCUCCCCACACCCCCCAGAAUAAUACUGCUUCCGUGGGCAUCCCUCGGGUUGGGCCCCAUCAGAGUUUAUGCGCCAGGAGGGUGGUCAGCUUGAUCUUGCCAUCCAUGGAGGCAGUGAGGCACGUCCCACAGUCCAUGGCGGUGCUCCAGUCCACAGUGACCACGGGGGCUCGGUGGCCGCCCAGGCUCAAGCAGCUCUCCAGAACCUUCUCAUCCCCACCCAGCUGCAAGACAAGAGAGGCGGCGUCAGCAGGCACUGUUCACAAACACAACUACUUUAUUCACCAAACUGCCUCGAGCCUGGUGGCUGCUACCCCAAUCUGAGGACAUGCCCGGGCACACAUGCCCACCUUUCCAGAAGAUCUCAGUUUAAUUUCUUGGGCCAGGAAGCGCCUUCCCUACCUCAGCUAUAGUUACUCCUUCGUCUCAGGUGGAAAACAAGAUCAUACAUUCUCAAGGACCAGAGAAUUUUCUCUGCCACCUUUAACCGGCACCCCCCGCCCAGUUCUUUUCCUACAUGGUUUACCGCUCCCCAGCAUUAGAUCCUGGAUCUGCUGCUCGGCUGCCCAUUUGCUUCCCACAGGAAUGCGAGCCGCGGCGCCCAGCAUAGUGCUGGCACAGGCAGGCCCCUGAGGACACAGGCACAGGCUCCCCCUCUCCCACCAAGCCCACAGCUAUGAAGAGUCAGCAGGUAACGAGGAAGGGGAAGCCAGGAGCACAAUGAAUAAUGAUUAAUCCGGCUAUGGAUAACACCCAGGAGUAGGACGCAGAAGUCUCUGGCCUUUGUGGAGAAAACAUCUUUAAAAAUCAUAAGUUGUUUAAAAAAUAAAUCAAUAAAUCAAUAUCAAAUAAAAAA